CUCUUAUAAUCUUUUGUUUUGCUGAGAGAAGUCAUGUCGAGGUGAAAUAUCUGGAGGAAAUUUUGUUGCAGAAAAAGGGCUCGUUGGGAAAUAUUCGCAUCGAAUAAUCGAGGUUGUUAAGUUAAAGCAGUUUCAUUGGCAUUUAGAACUGAAAGUGGAAAAGUGUACAGAAAAGCACAAGAUUUGCUGAAAAACAAAUUAGGAUGAACAUUACAAAAAGAAGCUUAUUUCUUGGAAAGGUACAUCGUUGUUUAGCAUCUUGAUUUGAAAUCGCAUUGUAAUUCGUAGUGGAAAAAACUUUUCAACAAAUGGAUAUGGCCAGAAUAUAACAUAAUCUGAUGAUACGCUCUGAAAUAUUGCAUCAAUCAUGUGUCGAUCAAUUAUGGGAUAAUCCAUCAGUUCACCAUAAAGAGGAAUAACUUAUAAGCCCAAUGGUGUUGACACUAUUGAGGAAAAAUACUCCGAACUCAUAUUAACAACUGGAAAGGAAGGUUUUCCUGCCGUUCCCCGUACAGCUCACUUCCAAAGAGUCUGGAUAUGAAUGCAACUGCGGGACUAAAUGAGAAGUUUGUAAUAGACUUGAAGUAAAAAUAAAUUAAUAAUCGCUAGCUGUCCUUAUAGACUGAAAGUAAUGCAUAAAAAGGCACAUAGAGCUUAUAGCAAUAGCAAUCACUAGCUGUCUUAAAUAAGUUUCCUUAUAGAAAGGCUGCUUUACUAAUUCCUACAUCAUGUACUACUUAUUAUAUGAUCAAAGCUAUACUGUUAAAUACUAAUUUCUAAAGCAAGCACUACUUAAUUAUUAGGACAUGUGAUGGAAGGGUAUAUAUUAGCACACAGCAUGUGCUACAUAUUAUGUCACAUGAUUUAAGGCUAUAUAGUUUUAUACUAACUUCUAUAGACUAUAGCAUACACCACUGAUAUUAAAGAAAGCAUGCAUAUAUAAUCCCAAUAA